rnacentral:rRNA from 1 species
GAUUGAACGCUGGCGGCAGGCCUAACACAUGCAAGUCGAGCGGUAGCACAGAGAGCUUGCUCUCGGGUGACGAGCGGCGGACGGGUGAGUAAUGUCUGGGAAACUGCCUGAUGGAGGGGGAUAACUACUGGAAACGGUAGCUAAUACCGCAUAACGUCGCAAGACCAAAGUGGGGGACCUUCGGGCCUCAUGCCAUCAGAUGUGCCCAGAUGGGAUUAGCUAGUAGGUGGGGUAACGGCUCACCUAGGCGACGAUCCCUAGCUGGUCUGAGAGGAUGACCAGCCACACUGGAACUGAGACACGGUCCAGACUCCUACGGGAGGCAGCAGUGGGGAAUAUUGCACAAUGGGCGCAAGCCUGAUGCAGCCAUGCCGCGUGUGUGAAGAAGGCCUUCGGGUUGUAAAGCACUUUCAGCGGGGAGGAAGGCGGUGAGGUUAAUAACCUUGUCGAUUGACGUUACCCGCAGAAGAAGCACCGGCUAACUCCGUGCCAGCAGCCGCGGUAAUACGGAGGGUGCAAGCGUUAAUCGGAAUUACUGGGCGUAAAGCGCACGCAGGCGGUCUGUCAAGUCGGAUGUGAAAUCCCCGGGCUCAACCUGGGAACUGCAUUCGAAACUGGCAGGCUAGAGUCUUGUAGAGGGGGGUAGAAUUCCAGGUGUAGCGGUGAAAUGCGUAGAGAUCUGGAGGAAUACCGGUGGCGAAGGCGGCCCCCUGGACAAAGACUGACGCUCAGGUGCGAAAGCGUGGGGAGCAAACAGGAUUAGAUACCCUGGUAGUCCACGCCGUAAACGAUGUCGAUUUGGAGGUUGUGCCCUUGAGGCGUGGCUUCCGGAGCUAACGCGUUAAAUCGACCGCCUGGGGAGUACGGCCGCAAGGUUAAAACUCAAAUGAAUUGACGGGGGCCCGCACAAGCGGUGGAGCAUGUGGUUUAAUU